UACGGAGGGUGCGAGCGUUGUCCGGAAUCAUUGGGCGUAAAGGGCGCGUAGGUGGCCCGGUCAGUCUUUGGUGAAAGCGCGGGGCUCAACCCUGCGUCGGCCAGGGAUACUGCCGCGGCUCGAGCACUGUAGAGGCAGGCGGAAUUCCGGGUGUAGCGGUGGAAUGCGUAGAGAUCCGGAAGAACACCGAUGGCGAAGGCAGGUCUCUGGGCCACUACUGACGCUGAGAAGCGAAAGCAUGGGGAGCGAACAGG
rnacentral:rRNA from 1 species